rnacentral:rRNA from 1 species
GAUGAACGCUGGCGGCGUGCCUAAUACAUGCAAGUCGAGCGAACAGACGAGGAGCUUGCUCCUCUGACGUUAGCGGCGGACGGGUGAGUAACACGUGGAUAACCUACCUAUAAGACUGGGAUAACUUCGGGAAACCGGAGCUAAUACCGGAUAAUAUAUUGAACCGCAUGGUUCAAUAGUGAAAGACGGUUUUGCUGUCACUUAUAGAUGGAUCCGCGCCGCAUUAGCUAGUUGGUAAGGUAACGGCUUACCAAGGCAACGAUGCGUAGCCGACCUGAGAGGGUGAUCGGCCACACUGGAACUGAGACACGGUCCAGACCCCUACGGGAGGCAGCAGUAGGGAAUCUUGCGAAAUGGGCGAAAGCUUGACGGAGCAACGCCGCGUGAGUGAUGAAGGUCUUCGGAUCGUAAAACUCUGUUAUUAGGGAAGAACAAAUGUGUAAGUAACUAUGCACGUCUUGACGGUACCUAAUCAGAAAGCCACGGCUAACUACGUG